rnacentral:misc_RNA from 1 species
GUACAGGUCACCGGCGGAGCCGGUGAGGACUGUUAGGUAUCCUUCCGUUUUAAGGAUGCGGGAGAUCUCGGCGGCGAGGUUGGAAGGUUGAGUGGAGUCAUCGAGGCUGCGACCGGCGAAGAUGAAAUCGAAGGUGUCGUUGUCGAACGGCUGGUGGAGCAAGUCGCCGGCGACGACGAGGGGUGGGGAUUUCUUGCGGUGGAGUCCGAUGGCGUCGGAGACGCCGAUCUCGUGGAGGGCGAGGACUUCGUAACCGGCGGGGGUGUUUAUACAGAGGGAUUUGGAGGAGGUUGAGAGGUAGCCGUCGACGAUGAGGUCCUGGAAGACGGCGGAGUAGAAUUCGACAUUCUUGCGCCAGUCGCGGGUGGACCACAGGGCGGGGGAGGCGCCGCCAAUGGCGGCGGCGGCAGCGGGAGCUGUGCCGUGGAGGAGGGGAUCCGGGGCGGAGAAGAAGCAGAAGUCGCCGGAGGUGCAGGAGUAGCCGGAGAGGGAGACAACAUAGGUGAAGCGGAGGAGGAGGGCGAGGAGGGCAAAGAGGAAGAGGCGGGUGAGGAUGCUGCGCAUCGGGCCGGGCUUGGCAGCGGCCGGCUCCAUGAAACUCUAGCCCUAGAUUUGGAGGCGGCGGGCGGAGGUUGGGGACUAGCGGGAGCAGAAGCGGGCGGAGGUGUGGUUGGCGCCGACGAGGUGGCGGGGGGAUUGGGAGUGGGGGUUGAUA